GCGCCCUUCUCGGGUCCCCUAGGUCGCGGGGCAGCCGGGGCGGAAGGGGCUUGUUCAUUAUUUUGAGAGUUUGUUGUGAACGUCAUAACCUUUCGUCCUUAAAUAUUGCCGAUACUUGACCUACGCAAGAGACAAUGUCAUGUGAUUCAGCCUAAUAUCUCAGAGGAUGCAGCAUUCAAGGUUCUAUCUUGGAAGCAGAGACUGUGCCCUCACCAGAUGCUGAACCUGCUGAGCACCCUGAUCUUCCACUUCACCUUCAUCAGAACUGGACGCGCAUGAAAUUUGGUGCCGUGACUCGGAUCGGCGGACCUCCCUUAGGAGAUCAAUCCCCUGUCCUCCUGCUCUUUGCUCCAUGAGAAAGAUCCACCUACGACCUAAGGUCCUCAGACCAACCAGCCCAAGAAACAUCUCACCAAUUUCAAAUCCGGUGGAGACCUAUUCUGUUGGGUUAGAGAUGACAGAAAAUCUUAUUUGUCGGUUGGUUUGUUUGUUCAAGAAUACACUGACCUUCUACAAGAAAGGAGAGCUCUUUGACACCUGGAAAUUUUACAGAAGCUUGGGACAGCUCUGAAUGGCAACACGGUCCUGAGAUAUGUGAUUACCUGGGACUUUCAUUGGACCUGCAUUUCAGCUCUACUCUCCUCACUGCCCUAUGCUGCUUUGACCCUAAAAGUGAAGCCAGCUUGGCCAGGUGCAGUGACUCACACCUGUAAUCCCAGCACUUUGGGAGGCCGAGGUGGGCAAAUCAAGAAGUCAGGAAAUCGAGACCACCCUGGCCAACAUUGUGAAACACCAUCUCUACUAAAACACAAAAAAAUUAGCCAGGUGUGGUGGCACGCACCUGUAGUCCCAGCUACUCGGGAGGCUGAGGCAGGGGAAUCACUUGAACCCGUGAGGAGGAAAUUGCAGCGAGCCAAGAUCGCGCCACUGCACCCCAGCCUGGGCGACAGAGAGAGACUCCAUCUCAAAAACAAAACAAAACAAAACAAAAAAAACAA
rnacentral:lncRNA from 1 species